CUCAGAGGUAGAGUACAGGCCCUCAAGAGCUUCCCAGACAGAGAGGGAGCUUGGCAACCUUACGAGCUUCACUUGAUUGAGGGAGUCACACAGCAAACUGAGGACAGGAAAAUGGACCCUCCAUAAAUUUCCAUCUAAUAACAGAACUCUCGAGAAAGGCAUUUCCCUCAUCUCAUUUCAGACUGACUCACUGUACUGUGAGACCUCAAGAGCUCCCUAGAAGAAAAGCAAAUGGAAAAUAGCAGGAGAGAAGGAAAUGGGAUGGGAUACAACCUUGAGUCCCAGAGGAAGAUUCCUUUUAGACCAGAGUAAAGGAGUACUCCACAUGUCUAUAUUCUCAAGAGUCUGACCUAACCUUUAUUUCAUCUUGGGAGUAGCCUCAAUCACUGAAGCCCACCCUGCAGAAGGCUGACUAACACCAAGGGAAGUAUCUAUUCCCUCUAAUCAAAAGUUCUAAACAAAGCUUCACACUUGCUGUGGAUCUUCAGGGUGAUCAGAGAACAAUGCCGGAUUAACUCCUUACAUAAAGAAUUGCCAAAUUGUAUUUCUUUCUGACUUCCUAAGGUUCUUUGCCUCUUCCAUUGAAUCAAAAUGGCAUUAAAACCCUUAGGUUAGCCUUG